rnacentral:rRNA from 1 species
UUCCGGUUGAUCCCGCCGGAGGCCACUGCUAUCGGGAUCCGAUUAAGACAUGCUAGACGAGAGGGUUCGGCCCUCGUCGGAAGGCUCAGUAACACGUAGUCAACCUGCCCUCAGGAGGGGGAUAAUCCCGGGAAACUGGGGCUAAUACCCCAUAGGUUUCGGAUACUGGAAUGUGCCGAAGCCCAAAGCUCCGGCGCCUGAGGAUGGGACUGCGGCGGAUUAGGCUGUUGUUGGGAUAAAGGCCCAACAAACCGAUAAUCCGUACGGGCGUUGAGAGACGUAGCCCGGAGAUGGGUUCUGAGACAAGAAUCCAGGCCCUACGGGGCGCAGCAGUCGCGAAACCUUUACAAUGGCUUAACGGCCGAUAGGGGGAUCCCGAGUGCCUGCACACUGUGCAGGCUUUUGUCGAGUUGAAACUGCUCGAAGAAUAAGGGGUGGGCAAUACGAGUGCCAGCCGCCACGGUAAUACUCGAGCCCCGAGUGGUGGCCACGAUUAUUGGGCCUAAAGCGUUCGUAGCCGGCCCGGCAAGUCCCUGGUGAAAUCCUGCGUUAAACGUGGGGCGUGCCAGAGAAACUGCCGGGCUUGGGACCGGGAGACGCCGGCGGUACUCAGGGUGUAAGGGUAAAAUCUUAUAAUCCCCUGGGGACCACCUGUGGCGAAGGCGGCCGGCGAGAACGGCUCCGACGGUGAGGGACGAAAGCCAGGGGAGCGAACGGGAUUAGAUACCCCGGUAGUCCUGGCUGUAAACGAUGCCCCCUUGAUGUCACGUCUCCUUCGUGGAGAUGUGGUGUCGUAGCGUAGGCGUUAAGGGGGCCGCCUGGGGAGUACGUCCGCAAGGAUGAAACUCAGCAGAGCGUUCGCUCUGAACGUUCUCUGUAGCAUCGAACUUAAGGGAAUUGGCGGGGGAGCACCUCAAGGGGUGGAGGCUGCGGUUCAAUUGGAGUCAACGCCGGG